AGCAGCCGCGGUAAUUCCAGCUCCAAUAGCGUAUAUUAAAGUUGUUGCAGUUAAAAAGCUCGUAGUUGAACUUCGGGGUUUACUCAUUGGUCAGGCUUAAUUGUCUGUACUGGUGAGAUGAAUCUCUACCUUCUGAGGAACUUUCAUGCCAUUUAUUUGGUGUGGUUGGAAAUCAGGACUGUUACUUUGAAAAAAAUUAGAGUGUUUAAAGCAGGCUAACGUCUGAAUACAUUAGCAUGGAAUAAUGAAAUAGGACGGAUUGAUUCUAUUUCGUUGGUUUCUAGGGUCACCGUAAUGAUUAAUAGGGAUAGUUGGGGGCAUUAGUAUUCAAUUGUCAGAGGUGAAAUUCUUGGAUUUAUUGAAGACUAACUACUGCGAAAGCAUUUGCCAAGGAUGUUUUCAUUAAUCAAGAACGAAAGUUAGGGGAUCGAAGACGAUCAGAUACCGUCGUAGUCUUAACCAUAAACUAUGCCGACUAGGGAUCGGACGAAGUUAAUUAAUAAUGACGCGUUCGGCACCU
rnacentral:misc_RNA from 2 species